UACGUAGGGGGCAAGCGUUGUCCGGAAUCAUUGGCGUAAAGCGCGUGUAGGCGGGCCGGUAAGUCCGCUGUGAAAGUCGGGGGCUCAACCCUCGGAUGCCGGUGGAUACUGUCGGGCUUGAGUACGGAAGAGGCGAGUGGAAUUCCUGGUGUAGCGGUGAAAUGCGCAGAUAUCAGGAAGAACACCCGUGGCGAAGGCGGCUCUCUGGGACGGUACUGACGCUGAGACGCGAAAGCGUGGGGAGCGAACAGG
rnacentral:rRNA from 1 species